rfam:Brachypodium distachyon strain Bd21 chromosome 3, whole genome shotgun sequence.
CAGGGUACCCUUUACCCUCCUUAGUUCAAACAAAUGAACUAAAAUUUUAAAAAGACACAAUUUUUUGGAAAACUAGUUCAUUUGUUUGAACUAAAGAGGGUCAAAUGGUACUCUG